GGAACUUCAAGUUCACAAGUCAUCUCCUUUCAAGGCAGGUGCCUGGUGUGACAUCAGGGUUAUGACCAUGCCUCUUUUCAGAACAGCACAAACUGCAUUAGUUGGCAGAAGACGUGAUGGAAACCACUAGUGCUAAGGGAUUAAUGUGGAGCCACGGAGGAGUGUGAUAGACUGAAGAGGCUACAUCAGUGUUACAAGGGAAGGACCUGGCACCCAGAGCUGGGCACUGGAAUCUGGGCGUCUGACAGCACCCUAACUGGUGUGUAAAUGCCACAGGAUUCAGGAAAAGCUGCUUAUUUCAGAAGGUUCCACUUCUGCUCAACUACCCUCCUUGGCCUAAAAGAGCAACACCAAACUCCUUAGCCUGAAGUGGCAAACUCAUCCUGGCCCUGGACUCGCUAAUAGGAUCAUCUCCAGAGACUGACUCCACCCUCCCUCAACUUUAACUGGAUGUUCUCUCAAGUCUGUGAAUACACAAUGUGUAUUUUCCUCAUCUGUUUGUCCUGUCUGAAAUGCCUUUUCUCCCCUCAGGCUCUCUCAUCGGGCUCAGACUCCCCAGUCCCUCUUAAUUGUCCCUUGGUCUGUU